CAUGUUGAUUGUACUUCAUCAGGUGCUCUGGUAAAUUUUAAAUUCCCGGCAUCUGUUGUUGUGCAAUUCAUGUG
rnacentral:pre_miRNA from 1 species